UAAUACGAAUGGGGCAAGCGUUGUUCGGAAUCACUGGGCUUAAAGCGUAUGCAGGUGGACUUACAAGUCAGGAGUGAAAUCCCUGGGCUCAACCCAGGAAUUGCUUUUGAAACUGUCAGUCUAGAAUCCCGGAGAGGUUAACAGAAUUCCGAGUGUAGAGGUGAAAUUCGCAGAUAUUCGGAGGAAUACCAGUGGCGCAAGCGGUUAACUGGACGGGCAUUGACACUCAGAUACGAAAGCGUGGGUAGCAAACAGGAUUAGAUACCCUGGUAGUCCACGCCAUAAACGAUGUGUGCUAGUUGUCGGAGCCUACGGUUUCGGUGACGCAGCGAAAGCGGUAAGCACACCGCCUGGGGAGUACGGUCGCAAGAUUA
rnacentral:rRNA from 1 species